AGAGUUUGAUCAUGGCUCAGAAUCAACGCUGGCGGCGUGCCUAACACAUGCAAGUCGAACGCGGUUAUUCAGCAAUGGAUAACUGAGUGGCGAACGGGUGAGUAACACGUGGGUGACCUACCUUCGAGUGGGGGAUAACGUCCCGAAAGGGACGCUAAUACCGCAUAACAUCCUGCCUUUGAACAGGUGGAGAUCAAAGCCGGGGAUCGCAAGACCUGGCGCUUGUUGAGGGGCCCGCGUCCGAUUAGCUAGUUGGUGGGGUAAUGGCUCACCAAGGCAACGAUCGGUAGCCGGCCUGAGAGGGCGGACGGCCACACUGGGACUGAGACAUGGCCCAGACUCCUACGGGAGGCAGCAGUGGGGAAUUGUUCGCAAUGGGCGCAAGCCUGACGACGCAACGCCGCGUGGAGGAUGAAGGUCUUCGGAUUGUAAACUCCUGUUGCCCGGGACGAAAAGCUCCGACCUAACACGUCGGAGUCUGACGGUACCGGGUGAGGAAGCCCCGGCUAACUCUGUGCCAGCAGCCGCGGUAAUACAGAGGGGGCAAGCGUUGUUCGGAAUUACUGGGCGUAAAGGGCGCGUAGGCGGCCUGCUAAGUCGAACGUGAAAUCCCCGGGCUCAACCCGGGAACUGCGUCCGAGACUGGCGGGCUUGAAUCCGGGAGAGGGAUGCGGAAUUCCAGGUGUAGCGGUGAAAUGCGUAGAUAUCUGGAGGAACACCGGUGGCGAAGGCGGCAUCCUGGACCGGUAUUGACGCUGAUGCGCGAAAGCCAGGGGAGCAAACGGGAUUAGAUACCCCGGUAGUCCUGGCCCUAAACGAUGAAUGCUUGGUGUGGCGGGUAUCGAUCCCUGCCGUGCCGAAGCUAACGCAUUAAGCAUUCCGCCUGGGGAGUACGGUCGCAAGGCUGAACUCAAAGGAAUUGACGGGGCCCGCACAAGCGGUGGAGCAUGUGGUUCAAUUCGACGCAACGCGAAGAACCUUACCCAGGCUU
rnacentral:rRNA from 1 species